UUUAUUGCAAGAAUUCUAAAUUCAUGACUUGUAGGGAUAGACUUAGC
rnacentral:sRNA from 1 species